rnacentral:misc_RNA from 1 species
GAAAUGCGAUAAGUAAUGUGAAUUGCAGAAUUCAGUGAAUCAUCGAAUCUUUGAACGCACCUUGCGCUCCUGGUAUUCCGAGGAGCGUGCCUGUUUGAGUGUCAUGGAAUUCUCAACUCUAUUUGCUUUUGUGAAUAGAGCUUGGAUUUGGAGGUUUAUUGCUGGUACUUGUGAUCGGCUCCUCUUGAAUGCAUUAGCUCGAACCUUUGCGGAUCAGCUAUCGGUGUGAUAAUUGUCUACGCCGUUGCAGUGAAGCAUAUCAAUGGGCUCGGCUUCCAAUCGUCCUUUACUGGACAAUGACUUUGACCUUUGACCUCAAAUCAGGUAGGAUUACCCGCUGAACUUAAGC